rnacentral:rRNA from 1 species
CGGAGGAUCCAAGCGUUAUCCGGAAUCAUUGGGUUUAAAGGGUCCGUAGGCGGUUUAGUAAGUCAGUGGUGAAAGCCCAUCGCUCAACGGUGGAACGGCCAUUGAUACUGCUAGACUUGAAUUAUUAGGAAGUAACUAGAAUACGUAGUGUAGCGGUGAAAUGCUUAGAGAUUACAUGGAAUACCAAUUGCGAAGGCAGGUUACUACUAAUGGAUUGACGCUGAUGGACGAAAGCGUGGGUAGCGAACAGGAUUAGAUACCCUGGUAGUCCACGCCGUAAACGAUGGAUACUAGCUGUUGGGAGCGAUCUCAGUGGCUAAGCGAAAGUGAUAAGUAUCCCACUGGGGAGUACGUUCGCAAGAAUG